ACGGGUGAGUAACGCGUAGGAACGUAUCCAGAGGUGGGGGACAACCCCGGGAAACUGGGGCUAAUACCGCAUAUGGGCUGAGGCCCAAAGCAGUGAUGCGCCUUUGGAGCGGCCUGCGUCCGAUUAGGUAGUUGGUGGGGUAAUGGCCUACCAAGCCUGCGAUCGGUAGCUGGUCUGAGAGGAUGAUCAGCCACACUGGGACUGAGACACGGCCCAGACUCCUACGGGAGGCAGCAGUGGGGAAUAUUGGACAAUGGGCGCAAGCCUGAUCCAGCAAUGCCGCGUGUGUGAAGAAGGUCUUCGGAUCGUAAAGCACUUUCGACAGAGACGAUGAUGACGGUACCUGUAGAAGAAGCCCCGGCUAACUUCGUGCCAGCAGCCGCGGUAAUACGAAGGGGGCUAGCGUUACUCGGAAUUACUGGGCGUAAAGGGCGCGUAGGCGGCUUGGCCAGUCAGGCGUGAAAUUCCUGGGCUUAACCUGGGGACUGCGCUUGAUACUGCUGGGCUUGAGGCCGAGAGAGGGUGGUGGAAUUCCCAGUGUAGAGGUGAAAUUCGUAGA
rnacentral:rRNA from 1 species